rnacentral:rRNA from 1 species
GUGAGGAAUUUUCCGCAAUGGGCGAAAGCCUGACGGAGCAAUGCCACGUGAAGGAUGAAGGCCUAUGGGUUGUAAACUUCUUUUCUCAGAAAAGAAUUAUGACGGUAUCUGAGGAAUAAGCAUCGGCUAACUCUGUGCCAGCAGCCGCGGUAAGACAGAGGAUGCAAGCGUUAUCCGGAAUGAUUGGGCGUAAAGCGUCUGUAGGUUGUUUAAAAAGUAUUCUGUCAAAGAUUAGGGCUUAACCCUAGAUAGGCAGAAUAAACUUUUAAGCUAGAGUUUGGUAGAGGCAGAGGGAAUUCCCGGUGGAGCGGUGAAAUGCGUAGAUAUCGGGAGGAACACCAAAGGCGAAGGCACUCUGCUGGGCCAAUACUAACACUGAGAGACGAAAGCGAGGGGAGCAAAUGGGAUUAGAAACCCUAGUAGUCC